GACGAACGCUGGCGGCGUGCCUAAUACAUGCAAGUAGAACGCUGAAGGAGGGGCUUGCUUCUCUGGAUGAGUUGCGAACGGGUGAGUAACGCGUAGGUAACCUGCCUGGUAGCGGGGGAUAACUAUUGGAAACGAUAGCUAAUACCGCAUAAUAUUGACUAUUGCAUGAUAGUCAGUUGAAAGGUGCAACUGCACCACUACCAGAUGGACCUGCGUUGUAUUAGCUAGUUGGUGGGGUAACGGCUCACCAAGGCGACGAUACAUAGCCGACCUGAGAGGGGGAUCGGCCACACUGGGACUGAGACACGGCCCAGACUCCUACGGGAGGCAGCAGUAGGGAAUCUUCGGCAAUGGACGGAAGUCUGACCGAGCAACGCCGCGUGAGUGAAGAAGGUUUUCGGAUCGUAAAGCUCUGUUGUAAGAGAAGAACGAGUGUGAGAGUGGAAAGCUCACACUGUGACGGUAUCUUACCAGAAAGGGACGGCUAACUACGUG
rnacentral:rRNA from 1 species